AACCUUAGGACUGGGAUAACCCCGGGAAACUGGGUAUAAUCCCCGAUAGAUCUCGGUCGCUGGAAAGCUCCGAGAUCGAAAGCUCCGGCGCCAGAGGAUGGGUCUGCGGCCUAUCAGGUAGUAGUGGGUGUAGCGUACCUACUAGCCUACGACGGGUACGGGUUGUGAGAGCAAGAGCCCGGAGAUGGAUUCUGAGACACGAAUCCAGGCCCUACGGGGUGCAGCAGGCGCGAAAACUUUACAAUGCCGGCAACGGCGAUAAGGGGACCUCGAGUGCCAGGUUACAAAUCUGGCUGUCGUGAUGCCUAAAAAGCAUUGCAUAGCAAGGGCCGGGCAAGACCGGUGCCAGCCGC
rnacentral:rRNA from 1 species